UAAGGAAUAUUGGACAAUGGUGGCAACACUGAUCCAGCCAUGCCGCGUGCAGGAUGACGGCCCUAUGGGUUGUAAACUGCUUUUGUACGGGAAAAAACCCUCGUUCGUGAACGAGGCUGAUGGUACCGUAAGAAUAAGGAUCGGCUAACUCCGUGCCAGCAGCCGCGGUAAUACGGAGGAUCCAAGCGUUAUCCGGAUUUAUUGGGUUUAAAGGGUGCGUAGGCGGAUUAAUAAGUCAGUGGUGAAAGCC
rnacentral:rRNA from 1 species